rnacentral:rRNA from 2 species
GCGGCGGUGUGCCUAAUACAUGCAAGUCGAACGCGUUGGCCCAAUUGAUUGAUGGUGCUUGCACCUGAUUGAUUUUGGUCGCUAACGAGUGGCGGACGGGUGAGUAACACGUAGGUAACCUGCCCAGAAGCGGGGGACAACAUUUGGAAACAGAUGCUAAUACCGCAUAACAACGUUGUUCGCAUGAACAACGCUUAAAAGAUGGCUUCUCGCUAUCACUUCUGGAUGGACCUGCGGUGCAUUAGCUUGUUGGUGGGGUAAUGGCCUACCAAGGCGAUGAUGCAUAGCCGAGUUGAGAGACUGAUCGGCCACAAUGGGACUGAGACACGGCCCAUACUCCUACGGGAGGCAGCAGUAGGGAAUCUUCCACAAUGGGCGCAAGCCUGAUGGAGCAACACCGCGUGAGUGAAGAAGGGUUUCGGCUCGUAAAGCUCUGUUGUUAAAGAAGAACACGUAUGAGAGUAACUGUUCAUACGUUGACGGUAUUUAACCAGAAAGUCACGGCUAACUACGUGCCAGCAGCCGCGGUAAUACGUAGGUGGCAAGCGUUAUCCGGAUUUAUUGGGCGUAAAGAGAGUGCAGGCGGUUUUCUAAGUCUGAUGUGAAAGCCUUCGGCUUAACCGGAGAAGUGCAUCGGAAACUGGAUAACUUGAGUGCAGAAGAGGGUAGUGGAACUCCAUGUGUAGCGGUGGAAUGCGUAGAUAUAUGGAAGAACACCAGUGGCGAAGGCGGCUACCUGGUCUGCAACUGACGCUGAGACUCGAAAGCAUGGGUAGCGAACAGGAUUAGAUACCCUGGUAGUCCAUGCCGUAAACGAUGAGUGCUAGGUGUUGGAGGGUUUCCGCCCUUCAGUGCCGGAGCUAACGCAUUAAGCACUCCGCCUGGGGAGUACGACCGCAAGGUUGAAACUCAAAGGAAUUGACGGGGGCCCGCACAAGCGGUGGAGCAUGUGGUUUAAUUCGAAGCUACGCGAAGAACCUUACCAGGUCUUGACAUCUUGCGCCAACCCUAGAGAUAGGGCGUUUCCUUCGGGAACGCAAUGACAGGUGGUGCAUGGUCGUCGUCAGCUCGUGUCCUGAGAUGUUGGGUUAAUCCCGCAACGAGCGCAACCCUUGGUACUAGUUGCCAGCAUUAAGUUGGGGCC